GGGCAAUUGGUCUAGUGGUAUUAUUCUCCCUUAGCAUGGGAGAGGUCCUGGGUUCAAUUCCCAGAUUGUCCA
rnacentral:tRNA from 1 species